UACGAAGGGGGCUAGCGUUGCUCGGAAUCACUGGGCGUAAAGCGCACGUAGGCGGAUCUUUAAGUCAGGGGUGAAAUCCCAAGGCUCAACCUUGGAACUGCCUUUGAUACUGGGGGAUCUCGAGUCCGGAAGAGGUGAGUGGAACUGCGAGUGUAGAGGUGAAAUUCGUAGAUAUUCGCAAGAACACCAGUGGCGAAGGCGGCUCACUGGUCCGGUACUGACGCUGAGGUGCGAAAGCGUGGGGAGCGAACAGG
rnacentral:rRNA from 1 species